rnacentral:lncRNA from 1 species
ACGUUCCUUUCGUUUCCGGGAGCUGCAAAGAGAUGGACACAUUUGUUUUCUCUUUCAACAACUUCACGGGAAGCAUUCCACCAGCUUUGGGAAAUUGCAGCAGCCUAACACAAUUUGCUGCUGUCAGUUGUGCCUUAACCGACCCAAUUCCUCCCUCUUUUGCCCAACCAGGAAACCUGAUGAAUCUUUAUCUCUCGAACAACAGGCUGUCAGGAGAAAUUCCACAGGAGCUGGGACGGUGCGCGUCCUUGGUUGAUCUGCGGAUAGAGGAAAACCAACUAGUAGGCCAAAUUCCAGUUGAGCUAGAAAAGCUCAGCCAGCUGCAGAGCCUGUUUCUCUUUACCAACCAUUUGACUGGCGAAAUCCCUCUUGGUAUAUGGAAGAUUCAAAGCCACGAAUUAAAAAAUCAAAACCAACCCAAUAAAUUAGCUAACAACCAAAUGCAAGACCCAAAAAAAAAAAAUCACAGAGAAAAAUGAACAAAUUUCUGAGCUACUUGAAAUACCAAAAAAAUAAAAGCCUGAAACAAUAAAGGAAAAAGCAUAGCAAAACUCAAUAGUCAAAAUCUCACCUUCGGAAAGCAACAACGAAGAAAAAAAUGUAAAAAUAAAAACUCACCCAUGAAUGCUAGACGUCGGAACAAACCCAGUGGCAAUCAUUAAACAACACAACUUGAACUCUACUACUGAUUGAAAGCAGCGGUGAACAAAAGGGAAAAAGUUGCAAGUUUCACCGUUUACCGCCGACCACUGCUCUCGAUCAUUAAUUUAUCACGGCGAGGAGAACAUAAAACCAACUAGUAAAAAACAACAAUGAACUGCCAGCAGAAUGAGGCAUAAAACUACAAGUUUGGGCAUCCAGAUCCACACAAAAAGGGUAAAAAGUCGAUUAAAUAAAGAAAAAAUUAGGGCUUUGCAUGUUACCUGAUUUGCUGAGAUACUCUAAAUAUUUCACUUGUUUAGAUUCUUCAAACCGUCUUUUGCCCACUUCUAGUUACCCUCUGCAGUCAUUCGGCUUUGGUUCUUCCUCAAUCGCAAGAAAAAGGCAAAAAAUUUUGGCAAACUCAAGAUUCAGUUUUGCCUUGUAUUUUCCGCCCGACAUAAUGGGUUUGGAGGAGAAGAAGGGUGCUUUUGUCUGUUCGGUUAUUAUUUGAGGAUAAAGUUGUCAUUUGGGUCAUAAAAUAAACGGUGUGUAAAUAUCCGUUAUUUUCCGUUAUUUUUCAAUGAAGUUUGGGUGUAAAGUGCCUAUAAAC